rnacentral:misc_RNA from 1 species
UUUUUUUUUUUUUUUUUUUGAAACUGAAUUAUAUGGUUCUAAUGGCAAAAUAAUGCCUGCAGUUUUCUUCCACUAAUCUGAUGAAGAUAAUAUUGAAUGGUAAUUUUUCCAGUGCUAAGUGUUUCAUUACAGCUAUUGAACUCAACUUUCUGUUGGUAAGUUAUAAUUAAAGAACCUGCCAAAGUAAGAUGAAUAGCACUGGACUGGUUCUACUAUUGAACCCAACCUUCUAGCAGUAAGUUUACUCAUAAACAAGGUAAUUUAUGAAAGGCUGAUGAAAUGCAUUCAGGUAUGACGCCAAUAAUUUUUUUUCCCUAUUAACAUAGUAAGAAUUAUCACAUUAUAAGAGAUAUAUAUAAAUAUUUUUGGUGCUAUUACAGCAAAUGCUGUUUGAUAUUCUAACUUAUGAUAAAAGCCUUGCAGUUUGUAAUCUUAUCACUGUAAUAGAACAAGACAUAAAUGAAUGUUGAUUUAACAUAGGCUUCAACUCUGGUCCUGACUGAGUUCUCUUUUCUUGGAGGUUAUCUAUUCUGCUUUUGUACCAUGCUUUCAUUAACUGCAUGCCAUCUUGAUAUGUGAAUCUGCAAUGAAAUAUUUUGGGAAUAAAUGUCUUGGAGGCUUUGCUGUUUGAGUUUGAUAGGUAUCAAAAUCAUUGCUUGUGAAACAUUUCAAUCUUUGUCUAUCGUGCAGUCUUAGCAACAGUUGGAGGCCUUGUUUCUUUUAGUUCCAACAAUGUACUCAUAUAUGGUGAUUGAUUUGUGAACCUGAUUUAGUUGGUUAUGCUUUAAAUUGCAGUACUGCUGGCUGUCCAUUUGGUGAGAGCUGCCAUUUUUUGCACUAUGUUCCAGGCGGCUACAAUGCAGUGGCCCAGAUGAUGAAUCUAGGGCCAGCUGUCACUCCUGUUUCUAGAAACAUGGCAGCCCCACCAGCAAUUCCUAAUGGUUCUGCUCAAUCCGCAGUUAAGAGCCGCUUGUGCAACAAAUAUAAUACUGCUGAAGGUUGCAAGUUUGGUGACAAAUGCCAUUUUGCACAUGGUGAGUGGGAACUAGGCAAGCCCAUUGCUCCAUCACAUGAUGAUCCUCGUGCCAUUGGAACUAUUCCAGGCCGUAUGGGUGGUCGAAUGGAACCCCCUCUUCCUGGCCCUGCUGCUAGCUUUGGCGCCUCGGCCACUGCAAAAAUCAGUGUGGAAGCUUCCCUUGCUGGAGCCAUAAUUGGUAAGGGCGGUGUGAAUUCCAAGCAGAUCUGCCGCCAAACAGGAGCAAAGUUAUCCAUCAGGGAACAUGAGACAGAUCCUAAUCUCAGGAACAUUGAAUUUGAGGGAUCAUUUGAACAGAUUAAGCAAGCUAGCGCCAUGGUUUCAGAGCUAAUUGCCAGUGUUGGUUCUGCAAAUGCCCCUGCAAAAGCUACAGGAGCAUCCGGGGGCCAUGCUCACCCAGGGAGCAACUAUAAAACAAAGUUAUGUGAAAACUUUACCAAAGGGUCUUGCACCUUUGGUCAAAGAUGCCAUUUUGCUCAUGGAGCUGCUGAACUACGCAAGUCAGGGGUGUGAUUAGGCACAUCAGUUUUCGUAGCUAGUUUAUUGCACGGGUUGUGCCAUCUUUGUAUUAAUGAGAGCUUCGUUUUAAGUGCUGGCUGUCCAAUGCUACUAAGCGACAGUGAUGAAACUACGAUAACUUGUGAGUUGUUGUGCUUCCUUUUUUACUUUAUUAGAACUGUCAUUGCUUUAGUUACCCUUUUCUUACCCAAUUUAGAAUUUUAUAGUAGUGUUGUGCUUUGUCAGUUUGAUUAUAUUGGAUUUUGUCUGCCUUGAGAAGAUGAUUUUGUUCAACUCGCAAGAAAUCCUGCAAUUAGAACAUUUCUUAAUGUUUAAUUUGACAGUGAACAGGGC